rnacentral:lncRNA from 1 species
UUAUAAGUUUAAUGUUGAUAUUAAAUAUGGAUAAAUUAAUGUGAAUGAUUUCCUUCCUUUAGCAUGCCUGAAAAUACCCUGUGAUACCUAUUAUAUCUAUUCUGGAACAUAUGUAAGUUAACCUUGUUUUUAAGUAUCAUUUCUCUACCUGAACCAUCCUUUUUUAGGGGGAAAAAAUUGGUUAAACAACAAACAAACAAAAUAGAAAAGACCAUGAAAAACAUCAUGAUAAAGCUAAAAUUGUUAUUAUUCAUUGUUAUUGUGAAUCAAUGAAUGAUCAUAUUACCAAAAAUAUGUUUUUAGUGUUAGGAUUCCCCGUAACCUCAACAUUGCCAUUUUUGAAAAUUCAAAAAUAAAAUGUGCAUUCAUUUUAAUCAACAGACUCCCAAUGUCCCGUAAUGUGAACCGGAUAUUUACAAUAAUAAUAUAUAAAAAUUCCACGAAAAAUGAAUAUUAAUCCAUGGAUAUCAUGAAUAUCGAAUUAUGUGUGAACUCAGCAUCAUUUCCUAAAUAAUACUAAUAUUUACAAGGUUUUCUUCCAAAACAUCUAAGAUAAAGGUUUCUGUAGAAAAGGCAUAAAUUUCUUAACAACAUUUUGUAUUGUCAUGAUCAGUCCAAACAGAAGCACUGAACUCUACAAACCAAUACAUGUAAUUUUUUUUUUUAUUUUUUAAAUUUUUUUUUAAAAAAUUUUUUUUUUAAAUUUUAAAAUUGUAUAAUUAUUACGUCAGGUAAAUUUUGUUCUGUCAGCAUGUCGCUAAUUAUUUCAGGAAAAAAAUAAUAUUUGUUUGAUCUUUUAAUAGCUAAAUUAAAUUGGCACCAUUCAUAUUUAUUACCAUUGGCAGUUUUGUAGUGUAUAAUUUAAAUAUCUCAAUUAUAUAAAUUAACUAGAUGUGUCAAAGCGACACGAAUGGCCCCAUCCCAAAAAGUUGAAAAAUCUGCAAUUUCAAUAUAAACACAUGUGGACACAAACAUGAUGGUAGUCUCACAUAUAAAAAAUCAGCUCAAAAUCUGGGGAGAAAAAAUCUGUAUAACUGAGAUUUUCAAUAAUUUAUCAAAGUCCAAAGCCUGUAAUUUCAGCGAAAAUAAGCGGAGCCGAACGAAACUUAAGCCUGGCCUAUAAGUCAUCAUGGUUAACACACAUACCAAAAAUCAGCCCAAUAUCUGAAAGCGUUUAGAAAAAAGUCCGUAUAACUGUGAUUUUCAACAAUUUCUCAGAGUCUAAAGCCCGUAAUUUCGGCAAAAAUUAGUGGAGCGGAACGAAACUUAAACUUGAUCUGUAACUCAUCAUGGUUAACUCACAUACCAAUAAUCAGACUUAUAUCUGAAGGCGUUUAGAAAAAAACUCUGUAUAAUGAUUUGUUGCGGAAUGACGGAAUGACAGAAAGACGGAAUUUCGGACAAGGGUAAAACUAUAUGGCACCGACAACUUUGUUGCUGGGCCAUAAAAAUUUGUAAUACUUGUCAUAAUAAAUUGAGCUCUUUUAAUAGGUACUAUUAAUACUGCAUUCAACUUUUUGAACUCAGUCCUGAUAUAGUUACUAGAAGAAAGUCUCCUUGGCGUAAUCCAGAAAGGACAUCCAAAGCCAACCAGACUUGGCUACUACUCAGGAGAACCACUAUUUGUGACUCUAACUCAACUGUAAAUGUUCAACCAGAUAAUAUUCAGCUCUACAUUAAUUUUAGGACAUUUUGACUAUUUGUUUUGUCAAUUGAUUUGGUAUAUUAUUAUUUCGAUCUGUUAUUAUAUAGAGUGCAUUUCUUUCUAACCAAAAUUUUGUAAACAUUGUGUGGCGUUUGUUGUUUUUCAUCUAAACGCUACAAAAGCAGAAACAAAUACAUGUUUAAUCAGUGUUUAUUGACCCUGUUUGAACUUUCAAUAAUGCAUGCACAUGUUGUUGGUAAACAGACUUAUUACAAAAGUUGAAACAAAUAUAUCGUUGAAUCAGGCUGAAGUUAGAAACAAAUAUAUCGUUGAAUCAGGCUGAAGUUAGAAACAAAUGUAGCAUUUGUUCUAAAAAAUGAUGAAUGACAAACUGUAGGCACAUUUUUAGCGCACACUUAGCUGUUUGUAUCGUUUGUGUUACAAAGAAAUGCACUCAAAAAUGUUUAAUUUGCUGCUUGCUUUGUAGUUUUGCCUGUCAUUGUAUAAGUCUUGCAAAAGAUUGACCCCCUGUCCUUUGGCUUGUGAAUGUUGGAUAGUCUCUUUCAAACUAGGGAUUAAUGAGCACUGGCCUUCGAUAACAUAUUCCCUGAAUAUGCUGGUUUAAAAAAGAUUUUUUUUAAUUUGCCAAUCAAAAUGAAAAAUUUCUUCUUUUUAUCAUACUUUUCAUCUGGCAUCAAACGAGAAUAAUUAUUUUAGGACGAGAUGAUCAAAAUAAAUAUAUCAUCUUAUCUGGUCCCAUAGGAACAUUUUUAAUAUUAUUUUAAUCAAACAAGACAAAAAUUUCAAAAUUCAAAUUAAGUUUUGCAUAGAAUUUAACUACCAUUCUAAAUUUGGUAAUUGUUUAUGCCAAUCCUUGCAC